GAUGAACGCCAGCUACAGGCUUAACACAUGCAAGUCGAGGGGAAACAAUAGAGAAAGCUUGCUUUUUCUAGGCGUCGACCGGCGCACGGGUGAGUAACGCGUAUCCAACCUGCCCAUCACUUGGGGAUAACCUUGCGAAAGUAAGACUAAUACCCAAUGAUAUCUCUAGAAGACAUCUGAAAGGGAUUAAAGAUUUAUCGGUGAUGGAUGGGGAUGCGUCUGAUUAGCUUGUUGGCGGGGUAACGGCCCACCAAGGCGACGAUCAGUAGGGGUUCUGAGAGGAAGGUCCCCCACAUUGGAACUGAGACACGGUCCAAACUCCUACGGGAGGCAGCAGUGAGGAAUAUUGGUCAAUGGGCGAGAGCCUGAACCAGCCAAGUAGCGUGCAGGAUGACGGCCCUAUGGGUUGUAAACUGCUUUUAUAAGGGAAUAAAGUGGGAGUCGUGACUCUUUUUGCAUGUACCUUAUGAAUAAGGACCGGCUAAUUCCGUGCCAGCCGCCGCCGUCA
rnacentral:rRNA from 1 species